rnacentral:rRNA from 1 species
AUUCCCUAGUAACUGCGAGUGAAGCGGGAAAAGCUCAAAUUUAAAAUCUGGCGGUCCUUGUGGCCGUCCGAGUUGUAAUUUAGAGAAGUGUUAUCCGCGCUGGACCGUAUACAAGUCUCCUGGAAUGGAGCGUCAUAGAGGGUGAGAAUCCCGUCUUUGAUACGGACUGCCAGGGCAUUGUGAUGCGCUCUCAAAGAGUCGAGUUGUUUGGGAAUGCAGCUCAAAAUGGGUGGUAAAUUCCAUCUAAAGCUAAAUAUUGAGGAGAGACCGAUAGCGAACAAGUACCGUGAGGGAAAGAUGAAAAGAACUUUGGAAAGAGAGUUAAACAGUACGUGAAAUUGCUGAAAGGGAAACGCUUGAAGUCAGUCGCGUUGUUCAGGACUCAGCCUUGCUUUGCUUGGUGUACUUCCUGUUCGACGGGUCAGCAUCAAUUUUGGUCGGUGGAUAAAGGCUUAGAGAAUGUGGCAUCCUCGGAUGUGUUAUAGCUCUGGGUCGCAUACAUCGGCUGGGAUUGAGGAACUCAACACGCCGCAAGGCCGGGUACUUGUACCACGUACGUGUUUAGGAUGCUGGCAUAAUGGCUUUAAUCGACCCGUCUUGAAACACGGACCAAGGAGUCUAACAUGCCUGCGAGUGUUUGGGUGGAAAACCCGAGCGCGUAAUGAAAGUGAAAGUUGAGAUCCCUGUCGUGGGGAGCAUCGACGCCCGGAGCAGACCUUUUGUGACGCAUCCGCGGUAGAGCAUGUAUGUUGGGACCCGAAAGAUGGUGAACUAUGCCUGAAUAGGGUGAAGCCAGAGGAAACUCUGGUGGAGGCUCGUAGCGAUUCUGACGUGCAAAUCGAUCGUCGAAUUUGGGUAUAGGGGGCGAAAGACUAAUCGAACCAUUGUUACUUGGUGGUUAAGAGGCAGCUGAAAGGCUAGCCUAGUAAGAGUUGAGGAUUGCGACACCGUCAAUUGCGGGGGACGUCCUUAGAGCCUUUGCUACCGCUUCUAUGCUGAAAAAGUGUAGUUGCACCAGAUAAUGACCUCGGGUAUGGUAUUAACGCAGAGGAUGGAAUAAUCCGCCAGCUAGUCUAACGAUAGUAACGACCCAUACUGGAAUGCA